rnacentral:rRNA from 1 species
CCUGGCUCAGGAUGAACGCUAGCUACAGGCUUAACACAUGCAAGUCGAGGGGCAGCAUGGUCUUAGCUUGCUAAGGCCGAUGGCGACCGGCGCACGGGUGAGUAACACGUAUCCAACCUGCCGUCUACUCUUGGACAGCCUUCUGAAAGGAAGAUUAAUACAAGAUGGCAUCAUGAGUCCGCAUGUUCACAUGAUUAAAGGUAUUCCGGUAGACGAUGGGGAUGCGUUCCAUUAGAUAGUAGGCGGGGUAACGGCCCACCUAGUCUUCGAUGGAUAGGGGUUCUGAGAGGAAGGUCCCCCACAUUGGAACUGAGACACGGUCCAAACUCCUACGGGAGGCAGCAGUGAGGAAUAUUGGUCAAUGGGCGAGAGCCUGAACCAGCCAAGUAGCGUGAAGGAUGACUGCCCUAUGGGUUGUAAACUUCUUUUAUAAAGGAAUAAAGUCGGGUAUGGAUACCCGUUUGCAUGUACUUUAUGAAUAAGGAUCGGCUAACUCCGUGCCAGCAGCCGCGGUAAUACGGAGGAUCCGAGCGUUAUCCGGAUUUAUUGGGUUUAAAGGGAGCGUAGAUGGAUGUUUAAGUCAGUUGUGAAAGUUUGCGGCUCAACCGUAAAAUUGCAGUUGAUACUGGAUAUCUUGAGUGCAGUUGAGGCAGGCGGAAUUCGUGGUGUAGCGGUGAAAUGCUUAGAUAUCACGAAGAACUCCGAUUGCGAAGGCAGCCUGCUAAGCUGCAACUGACAUUGAGGCUCGAAAGUGUGGGUAUCAAACAGGAUUAGAUACCCUGGUAGUCCACACGGUAAACGAUGAAUACUCGCUGUUUGCGAUAUACUGCAAGCGGCCAAGCGAAAGCGUUAAGUAUUCCACCUGGGGAGUACGCCGGCAACGGUGAAACUCAAAGGAAUUGACGGGGGCCCGCACAAGCGGAGGAACAUGUGGUUUAAUUCGAUGAUACGCGAGGAACCUUACCCGGGCUUAAAUUGCAGAUGAAUUACGGUGAAAGCCGUAAGCCGCAAGGCAUCUGUGAAGGUGCUGCAUGGUUGUCGUCAGCUCGUGCCGUGAGGUGUCGGCUUAAGUGCCAUAACGAGCGCAACCCUUGUUGUCAGUUACUAACAGGUUCCGCUGAGGACUCUGACAAGACUGCCAUCGUAAGAUGUGAGGAAGGUGGGGAUGACGUCAAAUCAGCACGGCCCUUACGUCCGGGGCUACACACGUGUUACAAUGGGGGGUACAGAGGGCCGCUACCACGCGAGUGGAUGCCAAUCCCCAAAACCUCUCUCAGUUCGGACUGGAGUCUGCAACCCGACUCCACGAAGCUGGAUUCGCUAGUAAUCGCGCAUCAGCCACGGCGCGGUGAAUACGUUCAAGGGCCUUGUACACACCG